rnacentral:lncRNA from 1 species
AAUCCGGCACCUCAAGGAUGAGAUGGCCCGCCAUCUGCGCGAGUACCAGGACCUGCUCAACGUGAAGAUGGCCCUGGAUGUGGAGAUUGCCACCUACCGGAAGCUGCUGGAGGGAGAGGAGAGCCGGAUCAAUCUCCCCAUCCAGACCUACUCUGCCCUCAACUUCCGAGGUGAGUCCCUGAGCAAAGGGGUUCUGAGGUCCAUACCAAGAAGACGGUGAUGAUCAAGACCAUCGAGACACGGGAUGGGGAGGUAAGUGGCCACACAGCAGCAGCAUGAAGUGCUCUAAAGACAGAGACCCUCUGCCACCAGAGACCGUCCUCACCCCUGUCCUCACUGCUCCCUGAAGCCAGCCUUCUUCCAUCCCAGGACACCACACCCAGCCUCAGUCCUCCCCUCACAGCCUCUGACCCCUCCUCACUGGCCAUCCCUCGUGGUCCCCAACAGCGACAUAGCCCAUCCCUGCCUGGUCACAGGGCAUGCCCCGGCCACCUCUGCGGACCCCAGCUGUGAGCCUUGGCUGUUGGCAGUGAGUGAGCCUGGCUCUUGUGCUGGAUGGAGCCCAGGCGGGAGCGGUGGCCCUGUCCCUCCCACCUCUGUGACCUCAGGCACUAGCCUUUGGCUCUGGAGACAGCCCCAGAGCAGGGUGUUGGGAUACUGCAGGGCCAGGACUGAGCCCCGCAGACCUCCCCAGCCCCUAGCCCAGGAGAGAGAAAGCCAGGCAGGUAGCCAGGGGGACUAGCCCCUGUGGAGACUGGGGGGCUUGAAAUUGUCCCCGUGGUCUCUUACUUUCCUUUCCCCAGCCCAGGGUGGACUUAGAAAGCAGGGGCUACAAGAGGGAAUCCCCGAAGGUGCUGGAGGUGGGAGCAGGAGAUUGAGAAGGAGAGAAAGUGGGUGAGAUGCUGGAGAAGAGAGGAGAGGAGAGAGGCAGAGAGCGGUCUCAGGCUGGUGGGAGGGGCGCCCACCUCCCCACGCCCUCCCCUCCCCUGCUGCAGGGGCUCUGGAGAGAAACAAUAAAGAGAUUCACAC